UAGAUAUUCAUUUAGGAGCCUGGGGGGAUGCUAGAGGCCUCUGCAAUGUGGAAGACCCUUGAGGAAGAUUUGACAGGUGAAUGACCAUUAAAGCUGAGUCAUAAAGAAUGAAGAAGCAAUCUUCAAGUAGAAAUUGGUGAAAGAAGAUUCCAGGAAGAGACAUCAGCAUGGGGAAAGUUAAGGAGAUGCGAAAGUUGAUGCACAUUUAGGGAAUAGCCAAUAAUCCACUAUACUUAGAGCACAGAGACUUAGAGUUGGGGUGUAAGACGGGCGGCACAGGGAAUAGAAGGAGAAAGCAGGGUAGGGACCCACACAGGGAUGGACCUAGCAUGCCUUAUAGAGUUGUGACCCCAGGUUUCACCCGAACAGGGAUUCAGGCUUACAUGAUAUACUGGUGAGUAAGGUCAGGAGAACUCUGUUUGUAUCAGGAUGGCUUCAGAUAAUGAAGAAGACAGCCUGAUGUCUGUCCCAGAUAUCGGUUCCCUGCUCUCAGACUGACCUGCCUUGAGAAUAUGUCCUGUAGGCAGAAGCUGAGGAGCUGGUUUUAAAAGGACUACUCGGGAGGCUGAGGCGUGAGAGUGGCGUGAACCCGGGAGGCGGAGCCUGCAGUGAGCGGAGAUUGCACCACUGCGCUACAGCCCGGGUGACAGAGCGAGACUCUGU
rnacentral:lncRNA from 10 species